UGUUUGUGACAACUAUAUUGUUUUUUCCGUGUACGAAUACCAAAAUCGAUUGAUAUGGAUAAUUAAUAAAAAAAAACUCCAUAAUCACAUUUACAAUAUUUUUACUUUAUUUUUAUAAUUAUUCUUUACAUAUUUGUGGAUGAUAAUCAUCAAAGAAACAUUUGAAGCAUAAUGUCGAUUUACGUCUGCUUUCCGUUAACAAUUUUGAAGAAACCAUGCAGUUGUCAGUUAAAAGAUAUAUGUUUUAUUCAAUGUGCUCGAUGUAAAUCGACAUUAUGCUUCAAAUGUUUCUUUGAUGAUUAUCAUCCACAAAUAUGUAAAGAAUAAAUAUAAAAAUAAAG